rnacentral:sRNA from 1 species
GAACAGUAUAUGGAAGAUUCAUAUUCCAGCUCUAAAAUUGAGAAGGGUACCUGAUGCAAAAUCAUGAUAUCAUUCGUGUACCUUAACUUCUGUUUUACCUUUGGCAGCAUUUAAAAAUGAACUUUACCCGCCAGAGAGAAAGCACCUAGCGCCCAGCUAACCUAAAAAACUGAAUUAAUUUACGUAUUCAUAGAUUCUGAUUUCCUCCUUCUUCUGUCUGAUCAAAUUAAUAAUAACCCUACGGCCUCUGCUGCCUUCAACUACGCCUCUGCAUCAGUGUUCUUCAGUAAAAUUAUGACCACAACUCCGUGAUGGAUGCCGAAACGGUAACAACAAUUUUCCACCCUAUACCUCCAAAUCACUGUCGUUUCUUAAUUUCCCAUUUCAUUUUUUCUCGCUUUUCCAGUGCUUACCAUCUUCCUUCUUAUUAACUGCAUAUACAUAUAAUGCCAUACCAUCUUAUCUGUGCUAGUGCUGCUGCAUCAUACAUAUAGGUAUAUGUACCUUCUGCAGCUUCUGCACAAAUUUUAAUCUACUCUUCCACCAAUUAACUGUUACGCCAGACCAUUCAAUUUUGAACUAUAACUGCGCCAAUCCUCCUUCAUCUCUCCAACACGGUAUGGCAGUAUAUAAUUGCGAGCCUCUGCCGUGUACUGUUACCAGAGAUUGGCUGCGGCCAAGGAGACACAGGACAACGAAGAAGAUGAAGAAGAAGGUACACAUCGGCUGCACUAUUCUAUGAGUCAAAAUUUUACACCCUUCGGUUUUCCUCAUGAUUAGGUUAA